UACGAAGGGGGCUAGCGUUGCUCGGAAUCACUGGGCGUAAAGGGUGCGUAGGCGGGUCUUUUAAGUCAGGGGUGAAAUCCUGGAGCUCAACUCCAGAACUGCCUUUGAUACUGAAGAUCUUGAGUCCGGGAGAGGUGAGUGGAACUGCGAGUGUAGAGGUGAAAUUCGUAGAUAUUCGCAAGAACACCAGUGGCGAAGGCGGCUCACUGGCCCGGUACUGACGCUGAGGCGCGAAAGCGUGGGGAGCAAACAGGG
rnacentral:rRNA from 1 species